rnacentral:miRNA from 15 species
CUUUCGAGUAAUAAUCGAAACC